UGGUUAAAAAGCUCGUAGUUGGAUCUCGGCGGUCUGAGGGCGGUUCGCUUGAUUGAGUGCUACUGCUCUAUAGGCCGUGGUUUUGCCAGAGGUCUCGGGGUGCUCUUAACCGAGUGUCCUGCGAUGCUGGCAGGUUUACUUUGAAAAAAUUAGAGUGCUCAAAGCAGGCUUUUACGCCUGAAUAUUCGUGCAUGGAAUAAUAGAAUAGGAAGUCGUUUCUAUUUUGUUGGUUUUCGGAAAUCGACUUAAUGAUUAAUAGGGACAGUCGGGGGCAUUUGUAUUCAAACGACAGAGGUGAAAUUCUUGGACCGUUUGAAGACAAACUACUGCGAAAGCAUUUGCCAAGAAUGCUUUCAUUAAUCAAGAACGAAAGUUAGAGGUUCGGAGGCGAUUAGAUACCGCCCUAGUUCUAACCAUAAACGAUGCCAGCUAGCGAUCUGCCGACGUUUUCUUUGUAGACUCGGCAGGAAGCUUCCGGGAAACCAAAGCAUUUGGGUUCCAGGGGAAGUAUGGUUGCAAAGCUGAAACUUAAAGGAAUUGACGGAAGGGCACCACCAGGAGUGGGGCCUGUGGCUUAAUUUGACUCAACACGGGAAAUCUCACCAGGCCCGGACACUGGAAGGAUUGACAGAUUGAUAGCUCU
rnacentral:rRNA from 1 species